UUACGGCCACAGUACGUCGAAACACUGGUUCCCGUAUGACCAACGAAGUUAAGCAAUAUCGAGCCUAGUCAGUAACUAGACGGGUGACCACUUAGUAAUACCAGGUGCUGUAAG